rnacentral:siRNA from 1 species
GAUGAUCUCUGCACAUGUAACCGA